rnacentral:rRNA from 1 species
AAGCGCUUGCAACCAGACCUGUCCGUGGGCGAUCAACCGUUGUUCUCAGCGGUGCACUCGUCCCGAUCAGGCCAGCAUCGGUUUGGGCGGUCGGAUAAAGGCCUUGGGAAUGUAGCUCCUCCCGGGGAGUCUUAUAGCCCUCGGUGCAAUGCGGCCAGCCCGGACCGAGGACCGCGCUUCGGCUAGGAUGCUGGCGUAAUGGUUGUAAGCGA